rnacentral:rRNA from 1 species
GAUGAACGCUGGCGGCGUGCCUAAUACAUGCAAGUCGAGCGAACAGACGAGGAGCUUGCUCCUCUGACGUUAGCGGCGGACGGGUGAGUAACACGUGGAUAACCUACCUAUAAGACUGGGAUAACUUCGGGAAACCGGAGCUAAUACCGGAUAAUAUAUUGAACCGCAUGGUUCAAUAGUGAAAUACGGUUUUGCUGUCACUUAUAGAUGGAUCCGCGCCGCAUUAGCUAGUUGGUAAGGUAACGGCUUACCAAGGCGACGAUGCGUAUCCGACCUGAGAGGGUGAUCGGACACACUGGAACGGAGACACGGUCCAGACUCCUACGGGAGGCAGCAGUAGGGAAUAUUACGCAAUGGGCGAAAGCCUGACGGAGCAACGCCGAGUGAGUGAUGAAGGUCUUCGGAUCGUAAAACUCUGUUAUUAGGGAAGAAAAAAUGUGUAAGUAACUAUGCACGUAUUGACGGUAACUAAUCAGAAAGCCACGGCUAACUACGUG